UAAGAAUAUAAAGAAAGUUUUUAAUUUUUUAAUAUAAACUAUAUUUAAAUUU
rnacentral:rRNA from 1 species